GGGCGCUUGGUCUAGGGGUAUGAUUUUCGUUUCGCAUCAACGCCAAGGAGCAUGUCUACGAAAGGUCGUGGGUUCAAUUCCCACAGCGUCCA
rnacentral:tRNA from 1 species